GAGUGUCAUGUAAGUUACAGAGUAGAAACAAAUUCUACUAAUGUAUAAAAUCAUUUCUCAUCCUUCACCUCAUGAAUUUGACAUAAGCUUAUACCUAAACUUUAGAAAGCGGUGAAAUGUCAAAUUCCAAACUAAAUAAGUUAGUUUAUUGAGUGAAUUCCAAUUCCUCUAAAAUGAAGGGAUCCAAACGGCCCGUCACAUUUAAAUGAAUUGGAAUUCUAUUUCUCUUCUGCCACCCAAUGUCAAUAUGGUGUUGUUGGAUGUCUUGUCUGGUACAUUUAUUUGGAAACUACCAUUUUCUUUAUUUGUUCAUAUACUAAGUUAUAUCAGUCUUUGUAAACCAAAUUGGAAAAAUACUUUCUGACGAUAAGCCUCUCAAAAUCAAUUAUUGGAUACCUAACAUAUGAUUGUUUGCGCCAUUAUUUAGCUGUUAACAUCUUUAGCUAUCUAAGCCAGCAUUAAGUAAUAUGUUUACAGAAGUUUGGUUCAUCUGCUUCUGCUCUCCGACGUGCCCCCCCUCCCCUCGACGCCUUAUGGGAAUCGGUACUCAUUAUCGGUGACGGGUGCUCGACAAAAUGCCUUCAUGAGAGGAACUGUCCUAAGUGCUGUAGUGUAGCAUAGCGAGCAGCGGUUGGUCAACGCAGGCAUGGAUGCACCAUGGAGGUGCCUUAGGAGCGUCAGUAUUUAGCAAACGAUCUUGUGCUGACAUGUGGCAAUUACCAAUCACGCUUAUAAAAUAAGGUCGUCAUGGCCUUCUCUGGUGCAGCUGAACAAGGUACUAUUUGCAGCAAUCCCUCGAACGUAUUAGCCCCUCAAAUGUAUUAGCUUUUGCUUGUAUAAUAAUUAUUCUUAAAUCAAGCUCAUAUCAAAAGAAAGGAGGCACGUGCUGGCCGUAAUACAGGAAGGCUCAACAGAUCUUGUUCAUGUUCUUGUGGAACCAAUUUUGUCCAUUGCAUGGUCAUUGUUCUUCAAUCUCCAGCUACACCGAUGUAGCUAAUAAUAUUUAUCUUCUCAUGCCUGAAUAAGUGAAUGCUAUAUCAUUUUAAAUCCUAACUGAUGCCUCUAUCAACAAAAAUGGAAGGGUCUUAAUUACUAGCCCAUUUUAUUUGCUAGGAGUAUGGAAUGUUUACUUGAUCUACAAUUAUUUCUUGUUUAAAAGGGAGCAUUAUUUUUUGUGCUCAGUGUUUUAUAUCAACUUAAAACAUAUUUCUCUCUCCUGUAGAAAUUAGUUGUUUCGGUGCCAUGUAAAUCUGAAACGUUUGUUCUCUUUUUACGCAAAUGUAAUCUGCUAAGGAAGUAAGGAGUACUUUACCUCCCACAUGUGAAGAUGUAUCUUAUCCCACAUUUUGCUGCUCAAAACUGUAGGUGUCCUCAAUGGCAAUCUUAACAUGCUGGUAUGCCUUUAUCGUCACUUUUUCCUUUUUAUCUAGCUUUGGUCAAUAGCUAUGGUAAUUACAAAUUUGGAUAUUUAAGAAUCCUUUUAUCUCAUCAAGAUAUGUUUGAUUCAACAAGUUUUCUAUGCUACGUGGGUUCAUUGAUUUAGGGACAUCAAUAAUACAUUAUACUACCCUAGCUCAGACAUAAUAGUAGGUCAACUCAUAUAUGACAAAUGAUAAAAUUUAAUAUUGGUUGACAUAAGAUUGGAAUUUUUUGGAUAGUCAUCGGAACUAUAGGAAGCUCAAAGGGGGUGUGGGUUACCUUAUGGGAAAUCCAUGACUGGGCAUGGGUACUGCUCACCAAGGUACCAGACAAGUACAUUGAAACUGUUCAAAUAUUCAUGUGUUCCUUACACAUACCAGAAUUGCGAAACAGCAUUUUACUGUAAUGCAACAAGCUGUAACUAGAUAGUGUUUGCCCCACUUUUCAAGAUUGUGCUUGUUAACUACCCGUGACAAUCAUAUUGCUCAAGGACGAAUCCAUUAUAACUAGCGAGGUAUAUAACUGAGUUAUUGCCAUUGAUUACUGUUUUUUCAUUGUCUUGCUUUGCAGUUCACAAGAGCCUCCUUCCACAUCGUUGUGGACUCUAUUUUUGAUUUCUCGGGUCUACAUUUCUUGUGCCAUUUUAUAUGUGAUAAACUUCUCAUUUUUAUAUAGAAGGAUAUCAUGAACUUGAAUAAUCAUGCUUCCUCCUCACUUUGUCUAAUGCAGCACUAUGACAGAAGAGGGCAAUAUGACAUUGCUUUGAAUAAAAUCGAUGAGGCUAUCUCACAUACACUGACUGUCAUCGAUUUAUAUUCCGUAAAGGGAAACAUAUUGCAACAUGCUGGAAAUUUCAUAGCAUGUUGCCGCAUUAGCAGAUGAAGCUAGGUCCAUGGAUCUUGCUGGUCGUUAUUUAAACAGCGAGUGUGUUGUGCAGAUGCUUCAGGCUGACCAGGUUGGUCUCGCCGAGAAGACUGUUGUCUUGUUUAUAAAAGAUGGUGAUCAACACAAUAAUCUUCAUGACAUGCAGUGCAUGUGGGAGAGCUAUUACUGUCAAUAAGGUGAUCUUGGCCGAACCCUAAAAAAUUCUUGGUAGUUGAAAAGCAUUACGCUGAUAUGACUGAAGAUCAAUUUGACUUUCAUUCAAUUGCUUGCGUAAAAUGACACUUCGAGCAUAUGUUUCUAUGCUGAAAUUUCAAGAUCGUUUACAUGCUCAUGAAUACUUCCAUAAGGCUGCUUCUGGAGCUAUCAGGUGUUAUAUGAAACUACAUGAUUAUCCAACAAUAUUUUCUAUAGAAGGGAAUGAUGAGAUAUCAAAACUGCCACAUGCUCAAAGAAAGAAGUAGAGGCAAAAGCAGAAGAAGGCAGAAGCGUGUGCUAAAAGGUUUUAAUCUAAGACAGUAUCCUCCACAGGAUUAAGGCACCACCCAGUUGACAUUCUUGAAAAAAAAAGAUUAAAUAGACAAUUGUGCUUAUGCUUAUUUUAUACUUAUUGAUCUGAAUAUCUAAACUAUGAUAAUUAAUGAAAGAUCAUUCUUCGAUUUUAUCAUUAAAUUUUCUUG